UACGGAGGGUGCAAGCGUUAUCCGGAUUCACUGGGUUUAAAGGGUGCGUAGGAGGACUGGUAAGUCAGUUGUGAAAUCUCCGGGCUUAACUCGGAACGGUCAACUGAUACUGCGCGGCUAGAGUGCAGAAGGGGCAACUGGAAUUCUCGGUGUAGCGGUGAAAUGCGUAGAUAUCGAGAGGAACACCUGCGGCGAAGGCGGGUUGCUGGGCUGAUACUGACGCUGAGUGCGAAGACCAGGGGAGCGAACAGG
rnacentral:rRNA from 1 species